AGGUUUCUAAUCUCCACUUUUAUUUGUAAUGAAUUUUCUUUUUAUCAAAUCUAUCAUUUCUUUUUCAUGCAAUCCUUGUUCUAGGUUUAAGUUAAUUUCUGUUUUUUUUUAUGCCAUUUUUUUAAUUCUUCUUUGAUGCAAUAUAUUAAAUUUUCUUUUAUGCAAUUUAUGUUCUAGGGUUUUGAUCUUCUUAGCACUUGCUUUCAUCCAUUUUAAUUUAUGCCAAAAUUUUCCUUUGAAUAGUUAAACAUUUCAUGAAUUUAUAAAUGCUCUUUGAUUUCGAAGUACUUGUCUUUUUAUUAUUUUUAAAUAAAGAAAAUUCUCUGGUAAAUUAGAGAAUCUAUCAUCAUCCCCGACAUCAUGUUUUUCUUUAGUUAUUCGAAACUCAAUUUUGAAUCCGAGUGAACGUUUUAAUUUUUAUGCAACUCCAAUCGCCUCCCUGUGGAUCGACCUCUUACAACCACUAUUCUUCGAGUAGGAAAGGUAAGAGUAGAAAUU
rnacentral:lncRNA from 1 species